GGCAGCAUGGUGUAGUGGUUUGAGCACUGGACUACUAUUCUAGAGACUAGAGUUCAAAUUCCAGCUCAGCCA